rnacentral:rRNA from 1 species
GACGAACGCUGGCGGCGUGCUUAACACAUGCAAGUCGAACGCUGAACCCGCUUCGGUGGGGGAUGAGUGGCGAACGGGUGAGUAACACGUGGGCAACCUGCCCCCGGCUCUGGGAUAACUCCAAGAAAUUGGGGCUAAUACCGGAUGUGACCGCUGGCCGCAUGGUCUGGUGGUGGAAAGGGUUUGCGGCUGGGGAUGGGCCCGCGGCCUAUCAGCUUGUUGGUGGGGUAGUGGCCUACCAAGGCGACGACGGGUAGCCGGCCUGAGAGGGUGACCGGCCACACUGGGACUGAGACACGGCCCAGACUCCUACGGGAGGCAGCAGUGGGGAAUAUUGCGCAAUGGGCGGAAGCCUGACGCAGCGACGCCGCGUGGGGGAUGACGGCCUUCGGGUUGUAAACCUCUUUCAGCAGGGACGAAGCGCAAGUGACGGUACCUGCAGAAGAAGCACCGGCCAACUACGUG